rnacentral:rRNA from 1 species
GUGAGGAAUUUUGCGCAAUGGGAGCAAUCCUGACGCAGCAACGCCGCGUGAGUGAUGAAGGCCUUCGGGUCGUAAAGCUCUGUCAGGUGGGAAGAACAUCCAUGGCAAGAAUACUGUUAUGGAGUGACGGUACCACCAGAGGAAGCACCGGCUAACUCCGUGCCAGCAGCCGCGGUAAUACGGAGGGUGCGAGCGUUAUUCGGAAUUACUGGGCGUAAAGCGCGUGCAGGCGGGAAGGCAAGUCUGAUGUGAAAGCCCCGGGCUUAACCUGGGAAGUGCAUUGGAAACUGCUUUUCUUGAGUACUGGAGAGGAAGGGGGAAUUCCCGGUGUAGAGGUGAAAUUCGUAGAGAUCGGGAGGAAUAUCAGUGGCGAAGGCGCCCUUCUGGACGGAUACUGACGCUGAGACGCGAAAGCGUGGGGAGCAAACAGGAUUAGAAACCCUGGUAGUCC